AAUACUUGACAAUGGGCGUAAGCCUGAUCCAUCCAUGCCUCGUGCGUUAACAAGUUCUCCGGAUUGUAAAGUACUUUAAUUUGGGAGGAAGGGCUGUACGUUAAUACCUUGCUGUUUUGACGUUACCGACAGCAUUGUCACCGGCUAGCUUGCUGCCAGCAGCCGCGGUAACACGAAGGGUGCAAGCGUUAAUCGGAAUCACUAGGCGUAAAGCGCACGUAGGUGGUUUGUUAAGUUGGAAGUGAAAGCCCCGGGCUCAACCUAGGAACUGCUUUCAAAACUGGCAAGCUAGAGUAUGGCAGAGGGUGAUGGAAUUUCCUGUGUAGCGAUGAAAUGCGUAGAUAUAAGAAGGAACACCAGUGGCGAAGGCGACCACCUGGGCUAAUACUGACACUGAAAUGCGAAAGCGUGGGGAGCAAACA
rnacentral:rRNA from 1 species